rnacentral:rRNA from 2 species
UUAAGCGACUAAGCGUACACGGUGGAUGCCCUGGCAGUCAGAGGCGAUGAAGGACGUGCUAAUCUGCGAUAAGCGUCGGUAAGGUGAUAUGAACCGUUAUAACCGGCGAUUUCCGAAUGGGGAAACCCAGUGUGUUUCGACACACUAUCAUUAACUGAAUCCAUAGGUUAAUGAGGCGAACCGGGGGAACUGAAACAUCUAAGUACCCCGAGGAAAAGAAAUCAACCGAGAUUCCCCCAGUAGCGGCGAGCGAACGGGGAGGAGCCCAGAGCCUGAAUCAGUGUGUGUGUUAGUGGAAGCGUCUGGAAAGGCGCGCGAUACAGGGUGACAGCCCCGUACACAAAAAUACACAUAUUGUGAGCUCGAUGAGUAGGGCGGGACACGUGGUAUCCUGUCUGAAUAUGGGGGGACCAUCCUCCAAGGCUAAAUACUCCUGACUGACCGAUAGUGAACCAGUACCGUGAGGGAAAGGCGAAAAGAACCCCGGCGAGGGGAGUGAAAAAGAACCUGAAACCGUGUACGUACAAGCAGUGGGAGCACGCUUAGGCGUGUGACUGCGUACCUUUUGUAUAAUGGGUCAGCGACUUAUAUUCUGUAGCAAGGUUAACCGAAUAGGGGAGCCGAAGGGAAACCGAGUCUUAACUGGGCGUUAAGUUGCAGGGUAUAGACCCGAAACCCGGUGAUCUAGCCAUGGGCAGGUUGAAGGUUGGGUAACACUAACUGGAGGACCGAACCGACUAAUGUUGAAAAAUUAGCGGAUGACUUGUGGCUGGGGGUGAAAGGCCAAUCAAACCGGGAGAUAGCUGGUUCUCCCCGAAAGCUAUUUAGGUAGCGCCUCGUGAAUUCAUCUCCGGGGGUAGAGCACUGUUUCGGCAAGGGGGUCAUCCCGACUUACCAACCCGAUGCAAACUGCGAAUACCGGAGAAUGUUAUCACGGGAGACACACGGCGGGUGCUAACGUCCGUCGUGAAGAGGGAAACAACCCAGACCGCCAGCUAAGGUCCCAAAGUCAUGGUUAAGUGGGAAACGAUGUGGGAAGGCCCAGACAGCCAGGAUGUUGGCUUAGAAGCAGCCAUCAUUUAAAGAAAGCGUAAUAGCUCACUGGUCGAGUCGGCCUGCGCGGAAGAUGUAACGGGGCUAAACCAUGCACCGAAGCUGCGGCAGCGACGCUUAUGCGUUGUUGGGUAGGGGAGCGUUCUGUAAGCCUGCGAAGGUGUGCUGUGAGGCAUGCUGGAGGUAUCAGAAGUGCGAAUGCUGACAUAAGUAACGAUAAAGCGGGUGAAAAGCCCGCUCGCCGGAAGACCAAGGGUUCCUGUCCAACGUUAAUCGGGGCAGGGUGAGUCGACCCCUAAGGCGAGGCCGAAAGGCGUAGUCGAUGGGAAACAGGUUAAUAUUCCUGUACUUGGUGUUACUGCGAAGGGGGGACGGAGAAGGCUAUGUUGGCCGGGCGACGGUUGUCCCGGUUUAAGCGUGUAGGCUGGUUUUCCAGGCAAAUCCGGAAAAUCAAGGCUGAGGCGUGAUGACGAGGCACUACGGUGCUGAAGCAACAAAUGCCCUGCUUCCAGGAAAAGCCUCUAAGCAUCAGGUAACAUCAAAUCGUACCCCAAACCGACACAGGUGGUCAGGUAGAGAAUACCAAGGCGCUUGAGAGAACUCGGGUGAAGGAACUAGGCAAAAUGGUGCCGUAACUUCGGGAGAAGGCACGCUGAUAUGUAGGUGAAGUCCCUUGCGGAUGGAGCUGAAAUCAGUCGAAGAUACCAGCUGGCUGCAACUGUUUAUUAAAAACACAGCACUGUGCAAACACGAAAGUGGACGUAUACGGUGUGACGCCUGCCCGGUGCCGGAAGGUUAAUUGAUGGGGUCAGCGCAAGCGAAGCUCUUGAUCGAAGCCCCGGUAAACGGCGGCCGUAACUAUAACGGUCCUAAGGUAGCGAAAUUCCUUGUCGGGUAAGUUCCGACCUGCACGAAUGGCGUAAUGAUGGCCAGGCUGUCUCCACCCGAGACUCAGUGAAAUUGAACUCGCUGUGAAGAUGCAGUGUACCCGCGGCAAGACGGAAAGACCCCGUGAACCUUUACUAUAGCUUGACACUGAACAUUGAGCCUUGAUGUGUAGGAUAGGUGGGAGGCUUUGAAGUGUGGACGCCAGUCUGCAUGGAGCCGGCCUUGAAAUACCACCCUUUAAUGUUUGAUGUUCUAACGUGGACCCGUGAUCCGGGUUGCGGACAGUGUCUGGUAGGUAGUUUGACUGGGGCGGUCUCCUCCUAAAGAGUAACGGAGGAGCACGAAGGUUGGCUAAUCCUGGUCGGACAUCAGGAGGUUAGUGCAAUGGCAUAAGCCAGCUUGACUGCGAGCGUGACGGCGCGAGCAGGUGCGAAAGCAGGUCAUAGUGAUCCGGUGGUUCUGAAUGGAAGGGCCAUCGCUCAACGGAUAAAAGGUACUCCGGGGAUAACAGGCUGAUACCGCCCAAGAGUUCAUAUCGACGGCGGUGUUUGGCACCUCGAUGUCGGCUCAUCACAUCCUGGGGCUGAAGUAGGUCCCAAGGGUAUGGCUGUUCGCCAUUUAAAGUGGUACGCGAGCUGGGUUUAGAACGUCGUGAGACAGUUCGGUCCCUAUCUGCCGUGGGCGCUGGAGAACUGAGGGGGGCUGCUCCUAGUACGAGAGGACCGGAGUGGACGCAUCACUGGUGUUCGGGUUGUCAUGCCAAUGGCACUGCCCGGUAGCUAAAUGCGGAAGAGAUAAGUGCUGAAAGCAUCUAAGCACGAAACUUGCCCCGAGAUGAGUUCUCCCUGACCCUUUAAGGGUCCUGAAGGAACGUUGAAGACGACGACGUUGAUAGGCCGGGUGUGUAAGCGCAGCGAUGCGUUGAGCUAACCGGUACUAAUGAACCGUGAGGCUUAACCUU